rnacentral:misc_RNA from 1 species
GUUGAACUUGGAUGUCCUUCCCUAAGAUGUUCUGGUACUGGACUUGUGCAUUGUCCUUAAGAUUGUUCUGAUGCUGCAAUUGGGUUUUGCCUUCUUCACUUUCCGACUCAUAAGCUUUCUCCUCUGCCAUUAAUUUCUCCAUUUCUUCCCUCAUCCAUGAUAACAAAUUCUUUCUGGUUACUUUAAGUUCUUCCAACAAAGAGUUCAUGUAGUUAUUGAGAUCAUCCAAAGCAGCACCCCCAUUGGCAGUAGUUUUACUCUUCUUUUGAGGGACUUUUUGGCUACUACGAGAUCCCC